rnacentral:rRNA from 1 species
CCUACGGGAGGCAGCAGUGGGGAAUAUUGGACAAUGGGGGGAACCCUGAUCCAGCCAUGCCGCGUGUGUGAAGAAGGCCCUCGGGUUGUAAAGCACUUUCAGUGAGGAAGAACGCCUGGUGGUUAAUACCCAUCAGGAAAGACAUCACUCACAGAAGAAGCACCGGCUAACUCCGUGCCAGCAGCCGCGGUAAUACGGAGGGUGCGAGCGUUAAUCGGAAUUACUGGGCGUAAAGCGCGCGUAGGUGGCUUGAUAAGCCGGUUGUGAAAGCCCCGGGCUCAACCUAGGAACGGCAUCCGGAACUGUCAAGCUAGAGUGCAGGAGAGGAAGGUAGAAUUCCCGGUGUAGCGGUGAAAUGCGUAGAGAUCGGGAGGAAUACCAGUGGCGAAGGCGGCCUUCUGGACUGACACUGACACUGAGGUGCGAAAGCGUGGGUAGCAAACAGGAUUAGAUACCCUAGUAGUC